CUAUUAUGAACUGGCAAACUAGAGGAGGUCUGGUUAGGUUAGGUUAGGUUAGGUCAAAUCUGUCAAACAUAUUUGGAAAACAGACUUGCAAUAGAAACUGAAAGCAGUUACGGCGCUCCUAAUGAAGGCGAGAGCCCUAUUAUGAACUGGCAAACUAGAGGAGGUCUGGUUAGGUUAGGUUAGGUUAGGUCAAAUCUGUCAA